UACGUAGGGUGCGAGCGUUAAUCGGAAUUACUGGGCGUAAAGCGUGCGCAGGCGGUUUUGUAAGCCAGAUGUGAAAUCCCCGGGCUUAACCUGGGAAUGGCAUUUGGGACUGCAUCGCUAGAGUACGGCAGAGGGGGAUGGAAUUCCGCGUGUAGCAGUGAAAUGCGUAGAUAUGCGGAGGAACACCGAUGGCGAAGGCAAUCCCCUGGGCCUGUGCUGACGCUCAUGCACGAAAGCGUGGGGAGCAAACAGG
rnacentral:rRNA from 1 species